UUUAAUUAAAGACUAGAAUGAAAGAUUUAACAUUUAAAUUCUUUUUUAAAAUAUUAAUUUACAAUUUAUUAUAAAUGUAAAAAAACAUUUAUUAAUAAGAAAGACGACAAGACCCUAUCGAACUUAACUUAAGUUAAACUGGGGCAGUUAAUCAAAAACCAUUUUAAUUAAAUCCUUUAUAAAAAUGACCCGAUCUUAUCGACCUAAUAAUCAAGUUACCGUAGGGAUAACAGCGUAAUAAUCUUUUAUAGAUCUUAUACAAAAGAAAGAUUGCGACCUCGAUGUUGAAUUAAUCAUCCUAUUUCAUGCAAUAAUGAAAAAAGAAAGUCUGUUCGACUUUUAAAUGAUCACAUGAUUUGAGUUCAGACCGGUGUAAACCAGGUCGGAUUCUAUCUUCUUCAUCCUCUUUACAGUACGAAAGGACCCAAAGAUAUUUUAUUAUCUUAGCAGAUAAAUGCAUUAGAAUUAGAAUCUAAUUAACUAAAAAUACUAUUCUCAAUCAAUUUUAUUAUUUCCACAAUCUGU
rnacentral:rRNA from 1 species